rnacentral:rRNA from 1 species
CGAGGAUGCCUGGCCCUGCUUAGUGGUGUAGGGCCGUCAUUUAGGUGCAGGUCCACGGCUUAACUGCGAAUGGCUUAUUAAACCAGUUAUAGUUUCCUUGACAGUGGACCCUACAUGGAUAACCGUGGCAAUUCUAGAGCUAAUACAUGCUGAAAGGCCGGACUAACGGACGGCCGGUUUUAUUAGGUACUAACCAACCCUAUGGUUGCGUGGACUCAUGGUAACUGAUCGGAUCGCUUUGCGAUGAGUCAUCCAAGUUUCUGCCCUAUCAGCUCUCGAUGGUAGUGUAUUGGACUACCAUGGCAGUCACGGGUAACGGAGAAUUAGGGUUCGGUUCCGGAGAGGGAGCCUGAGAAACGGCUACCACAUCUAAGGAAGGCAGCAGGCGCGUAAAUUACCCAAUCCUGACUCAGGGAGGUAGUGACAAGAAAUAACGACCCGGGGCGCAAGCUUUCGGGAUUGCAAUGAUCGUAAUGUAAAGGAAUUAGAAAGAAACCAUUGGAGGGCAAGUCUGGUGCCAGCAGCCGCGGUAAUUCCAGCUCCAAUAGCGUAUAUUAAAGUUGUUGCAGUUAAAAAGCUCGUAGUUCAACUUCUGUCCCGGCCGAGCGAGGCUGACUCGCCAGGCCGGGGCAUCCGUCUGCGGCACACUUCGGUGUGACAGCAGGCAGUUUACCUUGAGAAAAUUAGAGUGUUCAAGGCAGGGGUACCCGGAAUACAUUACAUGGAAUAAUGGAAGAGGACUCCAGUCGUUGUUGUUUGGGGGAGGAAUUAUUGGUAAGG